UACGUAGGGUGCGAGCGUUAAUCGGAAUUACUGGGCGUAAAGCGUGCGCAGGCGGUUUUGUAAGCCAGAUGUGAAAUCCCCGGGCUUAACCUGGGAAUGGCAUUUGGGACUGCAAGGCUCGAGUGCGGCAGAGGAGACUGGAAUUCCUGGUGUAGCAGUGAAAUGCGUAGAUAUCGUAAGGAAGACCAGUGGCGAAGGCGAGUCUCUGGACAGUUACCGACGCUGAGGCACGAAGGUCAGGGGAGCAAACGGG
rnacentral:rRNA from 1 species